rnacentral:rRNA from 1 species
GGCAGACGGGUGAGUACGCGUGGGAACAUACCUUCUGGUUCGGAACAACACAGGGAAACUUGUGCUAAUACCGGAUAAGCCCUUACGGGGAAAGAUUUAUCGCCGAAAGAUUGGCCCGCGUCUGAUUAGCUAGUUGGUAGGGUAAUGGCCUACCAAGGCGACGAUCAGUAGCUGGUCUGAGAGGAUGAUCAGCCACAUUGGGACUGAGACACGGCCCAAACUCCUACGGGAGGCAGCAGUGGGGAAUAUUGGACAAUGGGGGCAACCCUGAUCCAGCCAUGCCGCGUGAGUGAUGAAGGCCCUAGGGUUGUAAAGCUCUUUUGUGCGGGAAGAUAAUGACGGUACCGCAAGAAUAAGCCCCGGCUAACUUCGUGCCAGCAGCCGCGGUAAUACGAAGGGGGCUAGCGUUGCUCGGAAUCACUGGGCGUAAAGGGUGCGCAGGCGGGUCUUUAAGUCAGGGGUGAAAUCCUGGAGCUCAACUCCAGAACUGCCUUUGAUACUGAAGAUCUUGAGUUCGGGAGAGGUGAGUGGAACUGCGAGUGUAGAGGUGAAAUUCGUAGAUAUUCGCAAGAACACCAGUGGCGAAGGCGGCUCACUGGCCCGAUACUGACGCUGAGGCACGAAAGCGUGGGGAGGAAACAGGAUUAGAUACCCUGGUAGUCCACGCCGUAAACGAUGAAUGCCAGCCGUUAGUGGGUUUACUCACUAGUGGCGCAGCUAACGCUUUAAGCAUUCCGCCUGGGGAGUACGGUCGCAAGAUUAAAACUCAAAGGAAUUGACGGGGGCCCGCACAAGCGGUGGAGCAUGUGGUUUAAUUCGACGCAACGCGCAGAACCUUACCAGCCCUUGACAUGUCCAGGACCGGUCGCAGAGAUGUGACCUUCUCUUCGGAGCCUGGAACACAGGUGCUGCAUGGCUGUCGUCAGCUCGUGUCGUGAGAUGCUGGGUUAAGUCCCGCAACGAGCGCAACCCCCGUCCUUAGUUGCUACCAUUUAGUUGAGCACUCUAAGGAGACUGCCGGUGAUAAGCCGCGAGGAAGGUGGGGAUGACGUCAAGUCCUCAUGGCCCUUACGGGCUGGGCUACACACGUGCUACAAUGGCGGUGACAAUGGGAUGCUAAGGGGCGACCCUUCGCAAAUCUCAAAAAGCCGUCUCAGUUCGGAUUGGGCUCUGCAACUCGAGCCCAUGAAGUUGGAAUCGCUAGUAAUCGUGGAUCAGCACGCCACGGUGAAUACGUUCCCGGGCCUUGUACACACCGCCCGUCACACCAUGGGAGUUGGUUUUACCUGAAGGUAGUGCGCUAACCCGCAAGGGAGGCAGCUAACCACGUAG